UACGUAGGUGGCAAGCGUUGUUCGGAAUUAUUGGGCGUAAAGGGCGCGUAGGCGGUUUGUUAAGUCGGUCGUGAAAGCCCGGGGCUCAACCCCGGAGGGUCGACCGAUACUGGCAGACUAGAGUACAGAAGAGGUAACUGGAACUCCCGGUGUAGCGGUGAAAUGCGUAGAUAUCGGGAGGAACACCAGAGGCGAAGGCGGGUCUCUGGGCAUUAACUGACGCUGAGGAGCGAAAGCAUGGGGAGCGAACAGG
rnacentral:rRNA from 1 species